rnacentral:rRNA from 1 species
AAACUCCAGUCAGUAAACGUAGCUGUCUGAUCAAAUUUUUAAUAAACUAAAACUUUCAACAACGGAUCUCUUGGUUCUGGCAUCGAUGAAGAACGCAGCGAAAUGCGAUAAGUAAUGUGAAUUGCAGAAUUCAGUGAAUCAUCGAAUCUUUGAACGCACAUUGCGCCCCUUGGUAUUCCGAGGGGCAUGCCUGUUCGAGCGUCAUUUCACCACUCAAGCUCUGCUUGGUAUUGGGCGCCGUCCUCCCCCGGACGCGCCUCAAAGACCUCGGCGGUGGCGUCUUGCCUCAAGCGUAGUAGAAAACACCUCGCUUUGGAGGACGGGACGUUCGCCCGCCGGACGAACCUUCUGAACUUUUUUCUCAAAGGUUGACCUCGGAUCAGGUAGGG